UUGACCUGAUAGGUUGCAAACCGAUCGGAGGCUUCUUUAGUACGUUCUUCGCGUUUUGCCGCUCGGUUGUUCCGAUCGGUUGCAAACCGAUCGGAUUAUAACUUUUGCUCCGCAACUCCGUUUCAGACAAACUCACCACCGUUAGAAAGCUAAUUCAAUUUCCUAAAACUUUUAUGAAGGGCUCCAAAGCUAAAUAACAGGGGAGAGUCUUUAUAUGACGUGAUCUUUCAAGAACUUCAUUUGGAGCCAUCAUCUAGAUCGAGUGUAGACCGAUCUGUUUGUAACUUUUGAUACGCUACUCCGUUUGAUACUAAAUCACCACCAUUAGAAAGCUGAUUCAAUUAUCUAUAACUUUCAUGAAGGGCUCGAAGCUAAAUCACAAGGUAUAGGCUUCGUAUGAUGUGCUCUUUUUACUCCUUUUUGGCUCUGCUUCCUUCGCUUCAACCUCGUGUUCCUCCGCAACUCCAAGCGUCAUGAAAUAUACACACAGACCACAGAAGAAUGUGCAAUAUACAAUCGAGAACUCCUAAAGUACUAUAAAACUCAAUAUAACACACAAUGACACAAAACACUUAUUAAUCGAAGAAUAUAUACAUGAAACAUGAAGAUAACAUGGGACAAACCAUGAUGAUAUACAUGUAUAUCACCACCCCGGACUUGCUUUUUGCUUGUCCUUAAGCAAACAAGUUAUCAAAUAAGCUCAAAUUGAUUUCCUUUCACAAAAAUAGUAAGAUGCAUAAACCAAGUCUAUAACCACAAAUACUUUCCUUCUAAUUCCAAAUGCAGAAAAAUCAUUUCAUCCAACUCUUUAACAUUUAUUGAUGAUUAAGCGCGGUCUCACAAAGGGAGAGUAAAUCAUUCUCAAUUGGUUUAGGGAAAAAGGCAAAUUGAGGUGGUUCAAAAGAAUUUUUCUUUGGUGGUUUUCUCUCAAAACAUAGGAAUGCUAGACAAUCGCAAAAGCCAUCUAAGACCAAGAACAAUUUAUGCAUACAAAGUUUAAUCUCCAGUUGUUCUACCCGUCUUAUUAUGUAAAAUCCAUCUUUCUACCCUUUUGCAAUAUCCAUUUCCUUUUAAUAAUUAACCCCCAAAUUCUAGUUUUUAAAACACCAAACCUAAUGAUCAUUUUUCUUUUUGUUGUCAAUUAGGGAAAAACAAUUUUGAACACUUAGCUCUUUUCUAUUUCUUUUCUUUGUCCCCAAUAAUUAACCUUGCAAAUUUCUUUUCUUCUUGGGAAUUAGAGCAUCUUUCUUAUGAUUUAAUUCCCUAUUUGACUCUUUUCUUUCUACAAGAUCAUGCCUUUCUUUUAAUUCCUUCUUCCAAAACCCAAACCAAAUUCUCAAUUCUAACCACCUAAAUCUUUCAUUAUCACCCUAAUUGCUAGUCCAAUAGAGUUCCAAAGACUAGCUAAAACGAGAGAUAAUCCUUUGUCGUUCCCAAUACUCUCAAGAUUUUGCAAUCUAUAGCAUUAUCAACAAAAGGCCUCACUCAAACAAUAAAUCGAGGGUUUGAAAGAAUUGGUUAAGGUCAAGGGUAGGGGUACCAUUCUAAAGAUGAGAAUGGCUAUUCGGAUUAACAUAAGAGUGGUGAAAUGAAUAAGGAAAUCCGAAUGUGUCAUUUUAGACUACCAUGAGAAUGCAUUUAAAAUCCCUAAGUGAGAGAAUUAAAUUCAUUUUAAGUUCAAAUUCAUAGAGUUGGAAUCCACAAAAUUAUGCAUUUUGAAGUUCAGACAUGAUUUUUCAAGAAAUGAUUUUUUUUUUGUGCAUCUUAAAACAAUUUCUUAGGAAAUUCUCUCUCUCUCUUUUUUUUUUUUUUUAGAUAACUUAACUAUAUACAAUGCAUGACUCAAGAAACUAAAAUCAAAACAAAACACAUCAUUAUAUACAAUGUCUAUACUAUGUCUCUCCCCCAAACUUAUUUCACACGACGGUGUGAGAACAAAUUCGAGAAAAAGUCUAAAAACACACACACACACACACACACAAAAGAAAAAGAAAAACUUAAUGGUAUGUACAAAGAAAAGAUAGGACCAUACCGUGGCCCUAGUCACGAAAUUUAGUGUGUGGAGUGAAAGGAGAAGCUUUGAUGGUCCUUGGAAGGUCCUUGAAUUCAAGUGUGAGGACCUCUUUCAUCAAAUCUUCAACACCCUUUGAGCCUUUGUCUUUAAAUUUCGGUGUGAGUAUCGCUUUAACCGUUGCAAAAGGGUUGGACCGACCUUUGAAUUUUACUUUAUACUCAAUCGUUCCCUCCACAUAUCUCCAAGGUGUUAAGGUCAUUGAUGAGGUAGUCAUUGGCUCAUUGAAAAGGGUGGGAUGGUGGGUUUCUUUCAUUUUCUUCUUGUUCUUCUCAAGAAGCUUCUUAGUUUUACCAAAUUCCUCCUCUUUACCUCUUUCUUCAUGCUCAUCAAACAAGGAGUGUAGACAUUCACCAUUCAAGAUUUCCUCAUCAAAAUAGAGAGUCUCUUUAUCCUUCACAUUCACAACUUUGAACUCUUCAUGGUGAUGUUUCAAAUUUGUAAGCUCGUCCUUACUUUUCAUGUCUUCAUUAGUGAUUGUGCCACAAAACUUUGUAGAUGAAGGCUUGAUGGGGUAAGAGAUUUUGUCAUUCACGUGGAGAAGAAUAACUCUUUUGUUUGGGAAAUCGAUGCUUGCUCCCACGGUGUUGAGAAAUGGAGUUCCUAAAAUAAGAGGAAGCUUGUGAGUUUGCACCAUCUCUACAACCAUGAAAUCCGUUGGGAUUAUACAAUCACCAACUUUGAGCGGGUAGUCUUCAAUCAAACCAAGUGGAUAUUUCAAAGAAGCAUCUCCAAACAUGAUGGAGGAGGAGUGUCGCUUCAUAUCCUUGACCCCUAUACUCUUCAAUAUCUCAACCGACAUCACAUUCACGCUUGCUCCCGAAUCACAUAAGGCAUCAUCAAGUUGUAAAUCACCAAGUGAGCAAGGUAUGGUGAAUUUACCCGGAUUUUCAAGCUUGGGAAUCGAUUUGGGUCCUGCUUGUGAUGCGCUUGGUGAAUCAAAGAAUCUCAUGAGCUCUUCCACUUUCUCUCGGUUGGCUAAAAUAGCUUUGAUAAACUCUUUUUGUGGAAGAACUUGGGAUAAAUUGCUCACAUUAGGUAAGGGUGCUCCAACUCUACUCAUAUUGGCUUUGAAAUUUGAGAGAACUUUCUUUUGAGCCUUGGUAAGUACUCGUCCGGGAAAUGGAAGUGGAGGCUCAUAAGGAAGAGGCUUAAUAUUCGUGGUUUCUUCCUUUUCGACUCGCUUGGUUACCACAUCGUUUUCUCUAGUGUUACUCUCGAUCUUCUCAUUACUACUCGCCAAACUCUCAACAUUAGAACCAUAGAGAAGUUUAGAAGUUUCCUCAAUUGUCUUUUCUUUCUCAUCAACAUUAAUAUCAUCUUUUACUCCCUUAUAGUCUAUAUUAUCAACCUUCUCCAAAUCAUUGGUGAAGAUAGCAUUGCAAAAUUCUUUAGGAUUCGGAUCGGGCUUACCCGGUAAGAAACCAAUGGGACGCUUUGAAGAUGAGGCUUGACCAUUGACGGGUUGAAAGGUGUUCAAACUUGUCUUGCAUAUCCUUCAGUUGAGUAGCAAGCUCCAUUUUUUCACGUUUUUGUUCACGUUUUUGUUCCUCCAUUUGAGUAACAAGUCUCUGUAAUAGAGCACUUGUAUCUGCUUCUUGAAUCGGAGGUUUUGAUGAACUACCUUGGCCUUGGUUUUGGUAGUAGGGUUGAGGUCCGGUUUGAAAAUUUCCUUGGUUGAAUUGUUGCCUUGGUUGAAAAUUCCCUCGUUGGUUGAAUUGAGGUCUAGGCUGAAAAUUCCCUUGUUGGUUGAAAACUUGUCCUUGAGGUUUCAUUGCUGGAUAAUUUUGAUCUUGCGGGUUCUCGACGUUAUUGUUUCGAUAUGAGAGGUUCGUGUGGUUUCUAAAGUUCGGGUUGUAGCCUCCUUGGUAUCCUUUUCCAGCGACAUAGUUUACCUCUUCUUGCCCUUCGAGAAAAACCUCUUCACCCAUCAUUUGUUGACCAUAUGAAUCUCCAAUGUAAUUCAGAGGUUUUUGAGUAGCUUGUAAGACCUUGUCCAUCUUCUCAUCCAAGGCUUUAAUCUCUCGACUUCUUUGAUCUUCCUUAUCACCACUUCCUCGAGAAACUCUAUCAUAGUCCUCACCGUAGUUUCCAUCGCUUUGCGCUAGGUUCUCUACGAGUUUGAACCCUUCGUCGAUAUUCUUACCCAGGAAGUUCCCAUUGCUAGCGGUAUCUAGCAGCAUCCUUAUCUUCGGUACGACUCCUCUGUACAGCGUGCUCAACAAUGAUUCCUCAGAGAAUCCGUGGUGAGGGCAUUUGUUCGUGUAGCUAUAUUGAAUCGUUCCCAUGCUUCACUGAAACUCUCGUUUCCCCUUUGAGAAAAGCUCGAUAUAUAGUUUCUGAGCUUAGCUGUUCUUGAUGUCGAGAAGAAUUUUUCCAAGAAUUUCUUCUUACAUUCCGCCCAAGUAGUGAUUGAAUUAGGCGGUAGACUCUUCUCCCAUUGUUUCGCUUUAUCCCCAAGAGAAAAAGGAAACAAUCUUGGCUUAAAUGCAUCCUCAGAGACGCCAUUUAUCUUGCUCAGAUCACAUAUAUCGUUGAAGUUGUCAAGAUGAUCUAGAGGGUCCUCAACGGGCAGUCCGUGAAACUUGUUCCCUUGAACCAUAUUAAUGAUGCUCAUCUUGAUCUCAAAGUUAUUGUUCUCCACUGUUGGAGCGUGAAUACCACUUCGGUUCCCAUGUGCUUGGGGUGCAUCAUAUGCCCCUAUUAGUCUUGCUUUUCGAGCAGCAUGAAGUGGUGGAUUAGCAGUGGGAAGAUCCGCUCCUUGAAUUUCUUCUUCCAUUUCUGGGUUGUUGUCACCCAUGAUUAACCCUGUUGUUCUUGCAAGUCUUUCUCUUUCUCGCCUAGCUCGCUCUAGUCUUUUUAUCUCAGGUAUUAUUGCCACCAGAUUUUCUUGUCCUUGGCUUCUCAGGUUCAUGCACCUUCAAGAAAGAGAAAAAUACCGAACACGAUUAUAUAUAUAUAUAUAUAUAUAUAUAUAUAUAUAUAUUUACGAAAAUUAAAAUUUAGACUCGGUAGAAUCCAAAUCCUAAUGGCUAUUGCUAUGCCUCCCCGGCAACGGCGCAAAAUUGAACGUGCAGAAUUGUGGUUUCCGACCACAAUUAAUAUUUUAUCGAACCACAGGGAGCAAUGAACCAACACACUAGGAAUACACAGGUUCGCUUAAUCUAAGCAAAAUAGAUAGCUUUUGGUUUCCUAAAAUAUGACUAACAAAUAGAUUCAAACUAAACCAAAAAAAUCAAAGUAAAACAAGAUCAAACACAAAAGACUAACAAUUUAAUCGAAAAGAAAACGAAAGAACUAACAUAAAAGAAAACUAAAAGAAAGAAGUAUGGAUCGUUGGUAAGGUAAUUGACAAGGGUGAAUGACGGUUUAAACAACGACGAAUUAAACGAACAAUCAAUGUUUAAUCCUAUGACAUGAGUUCCUUAACUAGACAAGUUCACUUCCGUGAUACUAAUCCUUUUACAAAUCAUUUAAUAAGCUAAAUCUUCCGAUUGCAACCAAAUGAUUCAUAAACAUUAAACACAAGCUCACACAUGUUAUCGAUUCCAUCUUACGACUACAACUUCCGUUGGCCCAGAUUAAAAAUCGCAUGCAUAGAAGUUUCAGAUUAAUUAAUUCAAAACAUCUUCCGAGAAUGAAAUAAUCUAAAAUCUAGAAACCUCUUUUCCAAGUUCAUUUCUAGCAUUAAAAUCAUUCUAUACAUGAAGAUAAACAUAAAUCAUCAAUCAAACAUCAUGAUCAAUCAUCAAAUCACCCUAAAUCUACCAAACCAACAAUCCAAAAGUCAACUACUCACACAUACUCAAAACGCAAAAGUAAACCGUACAAAAGAUAGAUAAUGAAGACAUGAUCAAGAUUUUAUAAAAAGAUUCAACAAAACAUAAGUAACAAAGAUUUAGAUGAUGAAAUAAGUUUACAAAACAUGAAGAACAAAACAAGAACAAGAGAGAGAGUUUAGAGAGUUGUAAAAGUCUAGAUCUCUUUAUUUUACACUAAAAUGAGUAUUUAUAGUGGAAAACUGUCGGUUGCAGCUCUGAUCAGUUGACCUGAUAGGUUGCAAACCGAUCGGAGGCUUCUUUAGUACGUUCUUCGCGUUUUGCCGCUCGGUUGUUCCGAUCGGUUGCAAACCGAUCGGAUUGUAACUUUUGCUACGCAACUCCGUUUCAGACAAACUCACCACCGUUAGAAAGCUAAUUCAAUUUCCUAAAACUUUUAUGAAGGGCUCCAAAGCUAAAUAACAGGGGAGAGUCUUCAUAUGACGUGAUCUUUCAAGAACUUCAUUUGGAGCCAUCAUCUAGAUCGAGUGUAGACCGAUCUGUUUGUAACUUUUGAUACGCUACUCCGUUUGAUACUAAAUCACCACCAUUAGAAAGCUGAUUCAAUUAUCUAUAACUUUCAUGAAGGGCUCGAAGCUAAAUCACAAGGUAUAGGCUUCGUAUGAUGUGGUCUUUUUACUCCUUUUUGGCUCUGCUUCCUUCGCUUCAACCUCGUGUUCCUCCGCAACUCCAAGCGUCAUGAAAUAUACACACAGACCACAGAAGAAUGUGCAAUAUACAAUCGAGAACUCCUAAAGUACUAUAAAACUCAAUAUAACACACAAUGACACAAAAACACUUAUUAAUCGAAGAAUAUAUACAUGAAACAUGAAGAUAACAUGGGACAAACCAUGAUGAUAUACAUGUAUAUC
rnacentral:lncRNA from 1 species